AGCAGCAACGUCCAAUUAAAGGGCCCUGAUCACGAAACACAGGAACAAAAAUGGAAUCUGGAGAGUUUGAUCCUGGCUCAGAACGAACGCUGGCGGCGUGCCUAACACAUGCAAGUCCAAACGUGAAAGGGGAGCAAUCCCCCGUAGGGUGGCAAACGGGUGAGUAAUACAUGGGUGAUCUACCUUAGGGAUGGGGAUAUCCUUCCGAAAGGAGGGGCAAUACCGAAUAUUGUCCGGAGCCGUGAAGGGUUCCGGGGAAAGGGAGGCCUCUGAUACAAGCUUUCGCCUUAAGAUGAGCCCAUGGCCCAUCAGCUAGUUGGUAGGGUAAAGGCCUACCAAG
rnacentral:rRNA from 1 species